rnacentral:rRNA from 1 species
GACGUAGGAGGCGAGCGUUAUCCGGAUUCACUGGGCGUAAAGCGCAUGUAGGCGGUUGGAUAAGUCCGUUGUUAAAGCCCCUGGCUCAACUGGGGGGAGGUCAAUGGAGACUAUUCGACUUGAGGGCAACAGAGGCACAUGGAACUCCCGGUGUAGCGGUGGAAUGCGUAGAGAUCGGGAAGAACACCCGUGGCGAAGGCGGUGUGCUGGGUUGCAACGUGACGCCUGG